UUUUUUUCCCAAUAUAUAAUGAUAUUUAAUUAUCACUGUGUUCUUAAAUAUAUAUUACUUUGAUCUUUUUGUGUAAUAAUUUUCCAUAUCAAGCUAUUUGAUUGAGAGGGAUUUUUCUCCGUUGAGUAGCAUGAGAACAGGAUUAAGUUAUAUGCUAAUUAAUGUCAUUGAUGAUGCCCAGAAAAAUAGCAAUAAACAGUUAUACUAUUGUCUUUAAACUCUAUGAAGUUUCUCAGCUACAUCUCAUCUCAGGGCUUUCACCAUUUGGUGAGAUUCUAACAGAUUAUGAGUGAGCAAACAAUCUGAUUUUUUUAUAAGGUUCGAAGACACAUUGUCAAAUUUGUUUUCAUCAAUGCAAACACUUUAAAUCUGUUUUAUGAAAAUAUUGUAUUGAAUUUGUGAAGUAAAUGUCCUGGCC
rnacentral:lncRNA from 1 species